UACGUAGGGUGCGAGCGUUAAUCGGAAUUACUGGGCGUAAAGCGUGCGCAGGCGGUUGUGCAAGACAGAUGUGAAAUCCCCGGGCUCAACCUGGGAACUGCAUUUGUGACUGCAUGGCUAGAGUGCGGCAGAGGGGGAUGGAAUUCCGCGUGUAGCAGUGAAAUGCGUAGAUAUGCGGAGGAACACCGAUGGCGAAGGCAAUCCCCUGGACCAGAACUGACGAUCAGGCACGAAAGCGUGGGGAGCAAACAGG
rnacentral:rRNA from 1 species